rnacentral:rRNA from 1 species
UACGGGGGGGGCAAGCGUUGUUCGGAAUUACUGGGCGUAAAGGGCUCGUAGGCGGCCAACUAAGUCGGAUGUGAAAUCCCCAGGCUUAACCUGGGAACUGCAUCCGAUACUGGAUGGCUUGAAUCCGGGAGAGGGAUGCGGAAUUCCAGGUGUAGCGGUGAAAUGCGUAGAUAUCGGGAGGAACACCUGUGGCGAAGGCGGCCCCCUGGUUGGAUACUGACGCUGAUACGCGAAAGCGUGGGGAGCAAACAGGG